AUGGAGUGUCACCCAACUAGGUAUCUUCCCAAAAGCUCGUCGAUUGGCCAUCACCAACCUUUAAAGGAUCCAUUGGAAGUCAAUAUUGGGGCCAGCCCUUUAAACAUUCAAUUCCGUAGAGAUUCAAUUGGUGAAAAAUGGACUAAGUGGAUCCAUUUAGUUGGUAGAUUGAUGUCGAUCAAUCUAAAUCAAAUGCCAGAUACAUUCCAAUGCAGAUUGACUUCCAAUGGGGUCUUCACCAUGAAGUCAAUGUAUGCGGAGCUUAUGAAUUCUGGGCCAAUUUUCGUAGGAAGCAUAUUUGGAAAACUUAAGUCCUUUCUAAGAUUAAAGUGUUCAUGUGGUUUUUCCAAAGGGAGGUACGUAGUUCUUACCAAAGAUAAUCUUGCAAAACGUAAUUGGCAUGAUAGCAAAAAGAGUUGUUUUUGUCAUCAAGAGGAAACAAUUCAUCAUUUAUUCUUGUAUGGCCAUUCACUACCUUGA
rnacentral:rRNA from 1 species